UACAGAGGGUGCGAGCGUUGUUCGGAAUUACUGGGCGUAAAGGGCGCGUAGGCGGCCUUCUAAGUCGAACGUGAAAUCCCUGGGCUCAACCCAGGAACUGCGUCCGAUACUGGAAGGCUUGAAUCCGGGAGAGGGAUGCGGAAUUCCAGGUGUAGCGGUGAAAUGCGUAGAUAUCUGGAGGAACACCGGUGGCGAAGGCGGCAUCCUGGACCGGUAUUGACGCUGAGGCGCGAAAGCCAGGGGAGCAAACGGG
rnacentral:rRNA from 1 species